rnacentral:rRNA from 1 species
UACGAAGGGGGCUAGCGUUGCUCGGAAUUACUGGGCGUAAAGCGUGCGCAGGCGGCUUCUCAAGUCAGGGGUGAAAGCCCAGAGCUCAACUCUGGAAUUGCCUUUGAGACUGAGUGGCUUGAGUACGAGAGGGGUGAGUGGAAUUCCCAGUGUAGAGGUGAAAUUCGUAGAUAUUGGGAAGAACACCGGUGGCGAAGGCGGCUCACUGGCUCGUAACUGACGCUCAUGCACGACAGCGUGGGGAUCAAACAGG